GGGAGGCCCUACGGGGUCGAAGUCAUUGAAGCUCGGCUGUCGAGAAAAGCCUCUAGGGAGUUUGUUGGUUGCUCGUACCCGAAACCGACACAGGUGGGCUAGCUGAGGAAGCUAAGGUGAGCGGGAAAACCCUCGUUAAGGAACUCUGCAAGUUGACCCCGUAACUUCGGGAGAAGGGGUGCCACUCUGGUGAAAUAUAUUCAUAUGGAGCUAAGGGUGGUCGCAGAAACCAGGCUCAGGCGACUGUUUACUAAAAACACAGGUCUCUGCAUAAGGCGUAAGCCGAAGUAUAGGGACUGACACCUGCCCGGUGCUGGAAGGUUAAAUGGAGAGGUUAGCGUAAGCGAAGCCUUGAUAUGAAGCCCCAGUAAACGGCGGCCGUAACUAUAACGGUCCUAAGGUAGCGAAAUUCCUUGUCGGGUAAGUUCCGACCUGCACGAAUGGUGUAACGAUCUGAGCACUGUCUCAACGAGGGACCCGGUGAAAUUGUGGUACUGGUAAAGACGCCAGUUACCUGUGGUGGGACGGGAAGACCCCGUGGAGCUUUACUGUAGCCUGAUAUUGGAUUUUGGUCUGUCAUGUACAGGAUAGGUGGGAGGCGUAGAAUGGAGGGCGUCAGCCUUUCAGGAGCCGUUGUUGGGAUACCACCCUUGACAUACCGAAGUUCUAACUGUUGAGUCUGAAUCGGCUGGCAGGACAUUGUCAGGUGGGCAGUUUGACUGGGGCGGUCGCCUCCUAAAGAGUAACGGAGGCGCGCAAAGGUCACCUCAGGGCGUAUGGAAACCGCCCAUAGAGAGCGCAAAGGUAUAAGGUGGCUUGACUGUGAGAGAGACAUCUCGAGCAGGAACGAAAGUUGGUCUUAGUGAUCCGGCGGUACCGAGUGGAAGGGCCGUCGCUCAACGGAUAAAAGCUACCCCGGGGAUAACAGGCUGAUCUUGCCCGAGAGUUCCUAUCGACGGCAAGGUUUGGCACCUCGAUGUCGGCUCGUCGCAUCCUGGGGCUGAAGCAGGUCCCAAGGGUUGGUCUGUUCGCCCAUUAAAGCGGUACGUGAGCUGGGUUUAGAACGUCGUGAGACAGUUCGGUCCCUAUCCACCAUAGGCGUAGGGUAUUUGAGGAGAUCUGCUUCUAGUACGAGAGGACCGAAGUGGACGAACCUCUGGUGUACCGGUUGUAGCGCCAGCUGCAUAAGCCGGGUAGCUAUGUUCGGGUCGGAUAACCGCUGAAGGCAUCUAAGCGGGAAGCCGCCUCCAAGAUGAGAUACCCCAUUCCGCGAGGAAGUAAGGUGUCCUGAAGAUGACAGGAUAGAUAGGCCGGGAGUGUACGAGCUGUGAGGCUUUGAGCUGACCGGUACUAAUACGCCGAGGCCUUAUUC
rnacentral:rRNA from 1 species